AAAUAUAUACUCCGUGAAUUUUCCGGUGGAAUAAUAUAAUAUAUUAUUGCAAGUGCAGUCAAGGGGCAUAUAUUAUGUGAAAUUUUGGUUGUAAUAAAACUGUAUAUUCUGUGUUUCAGCCAUGGCGGAUUUUCGCUGCUCCAUUGAAACCGAGCCGAAUCAAGGGCAGCUCCAUCAUGCUAAGGUAGCACCUUUCUCUAUAUUUUCACCUUGCAUACUUGAAGGGAAUGUUUGGUAUGUAAUAUUGAAUGAAAUUUGAACUUUCUUUUUUCCUUUUUUUUUUUUAAUAUCUUAAUAGCAUCCGGUGCUAUUGAAUAAUCACGUCCGAUAAAAUGAUAACGAAACCUGUGUCUAGAUGACAUUCGUAGUGCUUGAUCAUUUCAUUUCUUGUACUGAAGAUCGCUUCCUCUCAUGUUUUAGGCUUCAUAUGUCUUGUAUUGAAAGUAUACUUCCCAUCAUUGUGUCUAACUUUCUUUUUCCUCCUUGAAAUGUACUAUAUAAGCAAUUUUUUUAUGUCACCAUCAACUCUAAUACUAUAUCAAAUAACCACCUGAUUUUAGAGUUUAUUAAAUUGCUAAAUGGACGAAUUUCAACUAUUGACUCUAGAAAUAACAUAAAAAUGUAAAUUAAACCACUUUAAUUCUCAUUGCAAAACUUUGUUUCCCUAAUCUACCAAUCUUUCUUGGUGCAUUUCUUGAAUUUUACAUUUGAUAAACAAUUUUCCGUUCCUUCUAAUGAUGCAGGAAGUUGCCAUUGACAUAGUUCAAAAGAAGGAAGCUGACGAAGUGUCGAGCAUAUUCAUCGACGUAAGCUACUUAGCUUUAUAAUUCCAUGUUUAUGACUCUACAGUACUCGAUAACGUCCAUCGAGUACUAUAUUGUCUAGUGAAAGUGUGUCUUUCUCAAAACAUUUCCAAAUUAAUGUCAUUCUUGACAAUUGACUCAGCUGCAUUUGGGUUAAAGAGGUCCUUACGUGGCAGCCCUCAAAUGGAUGGUUACUUGUGCCAAAGAUUGUAUUUCUUGUGGAUGAUUGAGAUUUGUCUAAAUUGGAUGAAUGGCUGGGAUUUAAUUUGGAAUCUAAUAUGACUUUUUGGGGAGAGAAAACGAUGGAAGACUCUUUUCAUUUUUCUUGGUUACAGAAUUAUUUCCUCUCUCUUUCUGGUGAUUUCUUCUCUUCUUUUUUUGGUUUUAGUUAUAUACUUCUCAGAUUAAAUUCUAGUUUUAGAUUAGCCCUUGUAAUAUCAUGAUGCUACAGUAACUUGAGGCGUGAUUUUGAGCCUCUGUUAUUUUUGGUUUGAUUUACUAUUGGCAAGGGCUAAAUGUUGUGAAAUGAUUUGUGUUUCGUUUCGUAGAUCCUUUGAUCGAAACUUGUGUAUUUUGAGUGAUUUGAUAUAACUUUGGGUCUCUUGGAUGGCAAUUUGCAUGGUAGAACGGGUUCAAUUCCUGAGCCCCCAGAUUAGGCCAUGUUUGGCCGAACUGGGUCACCAAUCUCUGUUGUUCUAUCUGAUUUUCAUUUUAUUAUUUGAGAACUUAAGUAUACAGUGUUCGAGUACAGUUCUUAAUCAUCAGCAAAUAACCCCAACAUCUAGUCUAGAAGAAUACUGUUUAAACGUGCCCUAACAAUAUCAAUGCAGGGACUGAAACCAGUUGUUGCAAUCAAGAACAUGACAGUGGUGAUUUCUGAACAAAAGGUGGAUGAAACCAAGGAAAAGACUCAGAUUAUGGAAACAUCUUUCCAAUGUUCAUGUAUUAUGGAUUCCCCUGACCAAUCUAGAGCUAAAGAGCCCUUAUCAUCUCCUUUUUGAGGGUUCAAUUAGUGAUGGCUGACUUAUCAUGAUUAUUGUAAAAUAGCAAGUUGAAUUAUAAUAUGUAAUAAAUCCACCAUUCCAGUGGAAGAUCUCUUCCGUGUCAUACCAAAUUCAAAUAAAUAAAUAUUUCAUUUUACUAUUUGUUCAAGAUUAUAGAUGAGAAACAUCAACAUGGCACCUUAGAGAAUUUUAUGACACUAUUUGACAUGGAGCAUUGCACUUUAAGCCCUCAUUCGGUUUAGAUAAACAUCAGACUUUUAAUAUAUUUUGAUAAAAGUUGAUGGAAUUUAAGAUUGAAAAGUUAUAGGUCUUAUGAAAUAUGUGAUUAAAAAUAAUUAUUGACUACGAAUUGAACUUUAAUUAUUUUUUUAGUGAAAUCAAAUCGGGGCUAAAUUUUUAACAGACACACAUCUUGAUGAAGAGACGUUAUUUUCAACAGUACUUGUCCUUUUAGAAUCAUCAUUUGUUUGUAUCUAUUCGUUAAAUUAACAAAAAUUGAUGUUAACAAGAUUAAUGGAAAAUAUUUACGUGACAUGAAAAAUUAUUAGUACAUGGUUUUUAUCCUUGAAUAGGUAAAAUCAGUAGACUUUUUUCUUUUAUAUUGGAUUUGAAAUUUCUUUUUAAAAACUUCAUUUUGAAAAUGCUACUAAUAUCUUAAUAGCAUCCGGUGCUAUUGAAUAAUCACGUCCGAUAAAAUGAUAACGAAACCUGUGUCUAGAUGACAUUCGUAGUGCUUGAUCAUUUCAUUUCUUGUACUGAAGAUCGCUUCCUCUCAUGUUUUAGGCUUCAUAUGUCUUGUAUUGAAAGUAUACUUCCCAUCAUUGUGUCUAACUUUCUUUUUCCUCCUUGAAAUGUACUAUAUAAGCAAUUUUUUUAUGUCACCAUCAACUCUAAUACUAUAUCAAAUAACCACCUGAUUUUAGAGUUAAUUAAAUUGCUAAAUGGACGAAUUUCAACUAUUGACUCUAGAAAUAACAUAAAAAUGUAAAUUAAACCACUUUAAUUCUCAUUGCAAAACUUUGUUUCCCUAAUCUACCAAUCUUUCUUGGUGCAUUUCUUGAAUUUUACAUUUGAUAAACAAUUUUCCGUUCCUUCUAAUGAUGCAGGAAGUUGCCAUUGACAUAGUUCAAAAGAAGGAAGCUGACGAAGUGUCGAGCAUAUUCAUCGACGUAAGCUACUUAGCUUUAUAAUUCCAUGUUUAUGACUCUACAGUACUCGAUAACGUCCAUCGAGUACUAUAUUGUCUAGUGAAAGUGUGUCUUUCUCAAAACAUUUCCAAAUUAAUGUCAUUCUUGACAAUUGACUCAGCUGCAUUUGGGUUAAAGAGGUCCUUACGUGGCAACCCUCAAAUGGAUGGUUACUUGUGCCAAAGAUUGUAUUUCUUGUGGAUGGUUGAGAUUUGUCUAAAUUGGAUGAAUGGCUGGGAUUUAAUUUGGAAUCUAAUAUGACUUUUUGGGGAGAGAAAACGAUGGAAGACUCUUUUCAUUUUUCUUGGUUACAGAAUUAUUUCCUCUCUCUUUCUGGUGAUUUCUUCUCUUCUUUUUUUGGUUUUAGUUAUAUACUUCUCAGAUUAAAUUCUAGUUUUAGAUUAGCCCUUGUAAUAUCAUGAUGCUACAGUAACUUGAGGCGUGAUUUUGAGCCUCUGUUAUUUUUGGUUUGAUUUACUAUUGGCAAGGGCUAAAUGUUGUGAAAUGAUUUGUGUUUCGUUUCGUAGAUCCUUUGAUCGAAACUUGUGUAUUUUGAGUGAUUUGAUAUAACUUUGGGUCUCUUGGAUGGCAAUUUGCAUGGUAGAACGGGUUCAAUUCCUGAGCCCCCAGAUUAGGCCAUGUUUGGCCGAACUGGAUCACCAAUCUCUGUUGUUCUAUCUGAUUUUCAUUUUAUUAUUUGAGAACUUAAGUAUACAGUGUUCGAGUACAGUUCUUAAUCAUCAGCAAAUAACCCCAACAUCUAGUCUAGAAGAAUACUGUUUAAACGUGCCCUAACAAUAUCAAUGCAGGGACUGAAACCAGUUGUUGCAAUCAAGAACAUGACAGUGGUGAUUUCUGAACAAAAGGUGGAUGAAACCAAGGAAAAGACUCAGAUUAUGGAAACAUCUUUCCAAUGUUCAUGUAUUAUGGAUUCCCCUGACCAAUCUAGAGCUAAAGAGCCCUUAUCAUCUCCUUUUUGAGGGUUCAAUUAGUGAUGGCUGACUUAUCAUGAUUAUUGUAAAAUAGCAAGUUGAAUUAUAAUAUGUAAUAAAUCCACCAUUCCAGUGGAAGAUCUCUUCCGUGUCAUACCAAAUUCAAAUAAAUAAAUAUUUCAUUUUACUAUUUGUUCAAGAUUAUAGAUGAGAAACAUCAACAUGG
rnacentral:lncRNA from 1 species